rnacentral:rRNA from 1 species
UACGUAGGGGGCAAGCGUUGUCCGGAAUCACUGGGCGUAAAGAGCUCGUAGGCGGCUUGUCGCGUCGGAUGUGAAAGCCCGGGGCUUAACUCCGGGUCUGCAUUCGAUACGGGCAGGCUAGAGUUCGGUAGGGGAGAUCGGAAUUCCUGGUGUAGCGGUGAAAUGCGCAGAUAUCAGGAGGAACACCGGUGGCGAAGGCGGAUCUCUGGGCCGAUACUGACGCUGAGGAGCGAAAGCGUGGGGAGCGAACAGG